CUGGUCAAAAAUUCUUGGUGCACUUAGUCCAAAUAGCAUAACCUUUACUUCAUUUCUGAUUACCAUGUUUGGACAUGAAAUUUUGCAUAAAAUGGUUUAUGCAAAAUUUCAUGUCCAAA